AACGUAGGGUGCAAGCGUUGUCCGGAAUUACUGGGUGUAAAGGGAGCGCAGGCGGACCGGCAAGUUGGAAGUGAAAACUAUGGGCUCAACCCAUAAAUUGCUUUCAAAACUGCUGGCCUUGAGUAGUGCAGAGGUAGGUGGAAUUCCCGGUGUAGCGGUGGAAUGCGUAGAUAUCGGGAGGAACACCAGUGGCGAAGGCGGCCUACUGGGCACCAACUGACGCUGAGGCUCGAAAGCAUGGGUAGCAAACAGG
rnacentral:rRNA from 1 species